CGUCAAUGUCCCUUUUCACUGCAGUGCAACCCAGCAGUGAGCCCCCAUGGGCACAUGGAUUCCUUUUCUUUGAGAAGGCACCUUGCUUCCAGUGACCGAGGGGACCAAGAGAACUGGCACAUCACACUUAUGACACGUGCAGAACAUCUGGAUGUGAACCCAGAAGACAUUGUGAACACUGUGAGUGUUCAGCGUAUCCCAGUGUUUCCCCAUUUCCUGAAGACUUAUGCUCGUUCACCAGCCAACAAGUCAUAGUGCGGACACAUUUGCUGGAGUGGAAUUUGGGGGCCAGAAGAUGGACACAUUGAAGGCAUUUAAUUCCUACCAUCAAAUUUCCUCUUUAAAAUUUAAACAAAAGAUACUAUAGUGUUCAGGAAGUGCUGAAUCUUAUUUCUGUUUUUCUCCCAUGGUAAUUUUAAAAAUUAAAUUCUCAUUAAAUGAGAGUGUAUCUUUGUACAUUUUUUUUUCUGGGAGAUUAUAUAG
ensembl:lncRNA